rnacentral:SRP_RNA from 1 species
GCUGGGCGUGGUGGCGCGCGCCUGUAAUCCUGGCUACUCAGGAGGCUGAGGCAGGAGAAUCUCUUGAACCCGGGAGGCAGAUGUUGCAGUGAGCCGAGAUUGCGCCACUGUACUCCAGCCUGAGUGACAGAGUGAGACUCUGUCUCAA